rfam:Triticum aestivum genome assembly, contig: Triticum_aestivum_CS42_TGACv1_scaffold_578047_7BL
UUUGUACUCCCUCCGUCUAAAAAUUCUUGUCUUAAAUUUGUCUAAAUACGGAUGUAUCUAGUUACAUUUUAGUGUUAGAUACAUCCAUAUCUAAACAAAUGUAAGACAAGAAUUUUGGGACGCAUGGAAUACUAC